AGAAUCAACGCUGGCGGCGUGCCUAACACAUGCAAGUCGAACGAGAAAGUGGAGCAAUCCAUGAGUACAGUGGCGACCGGGUGAGUAACACGUGACCAAUCUACCUUCGAGUGGGGGAUAACUCCGGGAAACCGGGGCUAAUACCGCAUAACAUCUUUGGAAUGCAAAUUCCGUUGAUCAAAGGAGCAAUUCGCUUGAAGAGGAGGUCGCGGCUGAUUAGCUAGUUGGCGGGGUAAUGGCCCACCAAGGCGAAGAUCGGUA
rnacentral:rRNA from 1 species